AAUUAACAUCGAGUGCGUUACAAUGUAACAGGCGCAGAUAAAAAGAAAACCGACGCUCAAACGAUUAUGGCGAGAGAGAGAAAACACCGAAUGAAUCUGGUUGACAGCUGACGCUCGUCCUCUCAUCUCCCCAUUCAACUCGUAGCAUACAGUCUCACCGAUAUCAGGCAAUUUAAUUAAAUAGCCUAUCACCAAAUGAAAAAAGAAACAGGCCUAAUAGCCUAUGACAGAGCCGAUCAAUAUUGGAAUUGGCAAAUUAGCCUAGAUUAUGUAGAAUAGGUCAAAUGGGGAUAUUUGAGUGCACGUAUGCAUACAUCCUACAUGAUUGUGCGUGUGUAAGCUGUAUGUAUGCAUGAGUGUAUGCGAAUCUGCGGUAUGUGGAAAUGGUAGAUAGAAAAUGAACAGAAUUGCGUUGGGUCUGCGGUGAUGAGGACACGUGGGACCAUAGUACCCUCCCCUCAUUCUAUCUCCAAGCGUCCUUCCGUUGCCAUGCAGUUCUCUAUCUGCACAAGAGCGGAUGCGACAACCCGGGUACCAAGGGGCCAAUUGAGCUGUCCACUACCAUGAGGAGACACAGAAGCUGCAGGCACACAUCGGGAAAUGGGACAGUGAAGAGCGAUGACAAGCUAUUGUUGGAAGAAGUGGGCUUGACUAGCAGGCUGUGUGUGUGUUGGAGCUGAUAAGAAGUGUCCUGAGGUGACUCCAUGUAAGCUGGAUGUCUUAGAUGAUCAUACAGAUAAAGCUGAAUGUGCAGAACAAGGGUUAUUGUUGUGCACAAAAUAUUAAUCAUGUCAUAAUGUGCCAUUUCAUUAAAGGAGAAUUUAGCUUUUUUACAACCAAAUCAAAAUGUUUGAUUUAAAUGGAAUGUUAUAGAAGGGUCCAGACUCUCUAGUCUUCACUCCCUCAUCCUCAUCGUGCAGUACGGGGGCUCUUCACUAUUCUGACUGAACCCGAAUACCCGAGACCUGGCCCGGGAACCGAGUGCGUCUGUGUCCAAAAUUCUAUCUUUUCCCUCGGGUCUGGGUCGGGUCCUGUUUGUUUGUCAUUGGGUCUUGGGUCUAUGUAACUAUAGCUGAUAGACCCUAUUGGACCCGAAUGGACCUGACCACAGCUCUGUAUAGCCUAUAGCAUAUUUAUUUUACGCUAAUAUGGUGAAUUUAUUGACAUAUUUAUUAACAUAUAAAUACAUAUUUAUUAACAAAAAGAGCAACUUGGCUGAUUUUUGGGUCACUCGGUUCCAAUCGGUUCUGGUCUAGACCCGGAACCCGUUAGAUACAGGUACAGGUCGAGUCUAGGUCUGGUUGUCGUCGGGUCUAUUCGGGUUCAGGUCUGAUUUUCUCCGGUCAACGUCCUCCUUUUUUUUGUUGAUGAUCGGGUCUGUUUGGGUCCAGGUCCAACUUUUUGGACCCAAGAAGACCACUUUUUUGGUGAUUUCACUUAUUUUUGAGACACUUACCCCAACCGGCAAUUCACUUCCUCAUCCUCAUCGUGCAGUACGGGGGCUCUGAAAGAACAUGAACAAAUGCUCCAAAAAUACCCAAAUAUGUCAUUUUAAAAAUCGAAACACUCUCAGUAUAGUGAUGUUGGUCCCUCAGAUUUGUGUGCUAAAAAUGAGAACUCGAAAGUGAAUAUCUUCUCCUCAGCCACCCACUCCAUGGGCCACCCAGACCAUCCUUCUACUUCAGGAGCGCCCCUAUAGCUGGAGUGCACUAAGGACAUGACUGAGAUACACUUGCCAACUUUGCGUUCUGCCUAAUGCUGCAUUCAUAUUCAUAACCAAGUGGGAAGUUGGUCAUUUUCAGUUGUGAAGUAGUAAAUAUGAGUUGAAUGCAUUCAUGCGCUUUGAACUUGUUGAGAAACGCUGAUUAGCUCAUGGCAAACAAGCUGUGUCAACAAUAAACUAAAAUUACAGCUAUCAUGCUCACAAAUUAUAGUGCUCAAAAACCAUAAUUAAUAGAUUGCUUUUUAUAAUUCAAGUUUUGUUGCAUUUAAU
rnacentral:lncRNA from 1 species